AUGUUUCUCGUUUAUGGAGGUGACAAAGAGCUCGUCGUAAAUGGUUACGUCGAUGCAAGCUUUGACACUGAUCCGGACGAUUCUAAAUCGCAAACCGGAUACGUGUUUUUAUUAAACGGUGGAGCUGUCAGUUGGUGCAGUUCUAAACAAAGCGUCAUAGCGGGAUCUACAUGUGAAGCGGGGUACAUAGCUGCUUCAGAAGCAACAAAUGAAGGAGUCUGGAUGAAGGAGUUCAUAUCCGAUCUAGGUGUCAUACCUAGUGCAUCGGGUCCAAUGAAAAUCUUUUGUGACAAUACUGGUGAGAUAGCUUUGGCAAAAGAAUCCAGAUUUCACAAGAGAACCAAGCACAUCAAGAGACACUUCAACUCCAUCCGGGAUCAAGUCCAGGUGGGAGACAUAGAGAUUUGCAAGAUACAUACGGAUCUAAAUGUUGCAGACCCGUUGACUAAGCCUCUUCCACGAGCAAAACAUGAUCAACACCAAGGCUCCAUGGGUGUUAGAAUCAUUACUGUGUAA
rnacentral:rRNA from 1 species